UAAUGCCUUUGUUUGGCCAAGCUAUGUGCAAAUAUCACAAAUUAAUAAAUUUGGUUAAGCAGUUAGGCUGGACCUAAUAUUUUUAGAAAAAACCUAAUUUUUUUUUGUUGGACCCAUUUUCGAUAUUUACUCACAAAUGGAAUUCAAGGGGAACAACUUCGGUCUCAGCACUUUAAUUAUUCUUCUCGUUCCCACCUAAUUUCGCAAUUUAUUGUCCUUGACUUCUACCACGAGAAAAAAAUUAAGAAAAUGCAACGCUGCCCGUGCAGGGUUUUCUGAGCGGGAURGAAAAAAUCAGACAAAUAUCCAAGUUAUGAGUAAUUACUUUGUUGGAAGGAGGGAGCAGAGCAUAAGGAAAUUCUUAAAACUGUUAUGUAUAUAAAGGAAGAACCAUUUCUAGUUAUUUCACUUUUUGAUACUUGUCAACUAUCUUAGUAAAAAUACAGAACUCUAUAAAGAACCACAGAAAAAUCKACAGCAAUGACAAGCAUUGACAUUAACAACUUACAAAAUACCUUUCAACAAGCUAUGAAUAUGAGCGGCUCCCCAGGCGCUGU
rnacentral:sRNA from 1 species